UAAUUAUUUUUCCAAAUCGUCAAAGUGUCGGUUCAAAGAGUCGAUUCAAAGAGUCGAGUCGGUUUUCCGAAAGUGAAAGUGUUUCUUAGCCUCAACUCCAUUUGGAGGAGCGGUUGGAAAAACACAAAGAUGUUGAACAGCAGUCAGAAACGGUGAGAUUCAUGUCCAACAACAAGCAGUGCUGAAGAAAAGUGGGAAUGUGAUUGAUUCCAGCAGAAGAGAUCGGCGUCUUCAGGACUCUGCGUGUACACGAGCAUU